CGCGUAGGCGGCCUGGCAAGUCAAAGGUGAAAUCCCUCGGCCCAACCGAGGAACUGCCUUUGAAACUGCAAGGCUCGAGGCCGGGAGAGGGUAGCGGAAUUCCCAGUGUAGCGGUGAAAUGCGUAGAUAUUGGGAGGAACACCAGUGGCGAAGGCGGCUACCUGGACCGGUUCUGACGCUGAGGCGCGAAAGCGUGGGGAGAAACA
rnacentral:rRNA from 1 species